UACAGAGGGGGCAAGCGUUGUUCGGAAUUACUGGGCGUAAAGGGCGCGUAGGCGGCCUCUUAAGUCGAACGUGAAAUCCCCGGGCUCAACCCGGGAACUGCGUCCGAUACUGGGAGGCUUGAAUCCGGGAGAGGGAUGUGGAAUUCCAGGUGUAGCGGUGAAAUGCGUAGAUAUCUGGAGGAACACCGGUGGCGAAGGCGGCAUCCUGGACCGGUAUUGACGCUGAGGCGCGAAAGCCAAGGGAGCAAACGGG
rnacentral:rRNA from 1 species